UACGUAGGGUGCGAGCGUUGCCCGGAUUUAUUGGGCGUAAAGGGCGCGUAGGCGGUGAGAUGCGUCCGUUGUGAAAUCGCCCGGCUCAACUGGGCGGGGUCAGCGGAUACGGUCUCACUCGAGCAAGCUAGGGGGCAAUGGAAUUCCCGGUGUAGUGGUGGAAUGCGUAGAUAUCGGGAGGAACACCAGUGGCGAAGGCGGCUUCCUGGACACCAACUGACGCUGAGACGCGAAAGCGUGGGGAGCAAACAGG
rnacentral:rRNA from 1 species